rnacentral:rRNA from 1 species
AGCGAACGUUUGCGGCGGGCCUAACACAUGCAAGUCGAACGGGCUAGCAAUAGUCAGUGGCGCACGGGUGCGUAACACGUGGGUAAUCAACCCUUCAGCUCGGGAUAACGCCUUGAAAGGGCGCUAAUACCGGAUGCGACGCGAGGAGCCUCGGCGCUUCGCGGGGAAAGAUUCGCAAGGAUCACUGAAGGACGAGCCUGCGGCCCAUCAGCUAGUUGGUGAGGUAAGAGCUCACCAAGGCGAAGACGGGUAGCUGGUCUGAGAGGAUGAUCAGCCACACUGGAACUGAGACACGGUCCAGACUCCUACGGGAGGCAGCAGUGGGGAAUAUUGCGCAAUGGGCGAAAGCCUGACGCAGCCACGCCGCGUGAGCGAUGAAGGCCUCGGUCGUAAG